CUUUAAAUGGGUAAGAAGCUCGGCACGCUGGCUUGGAGUCGGGCGUGGAAUGCGAGCCGCCUAUGGGCCACUUUUGGUAAGCAGAACUGGCGCUGCGGGAUGAACCGAACGCCGGGUUAAGGCGCCCGAUGCCGACGCUCAUCAGACCCCAGAAAAGGUGUUGGUCGAUAUAGACAGCAGGACAGUGGCCAUGGAAGUCGGAAUCCGCUAAGGAGUGUGU